rnacentral:lncRNA from 1 species
AAGUUUGCAUCCUUCGACUGGAUUAAGCGAUUCGGCUGAUGAGGGAUCGGAUCAGCCGAGUUCGAAAACCGUUACUAUAGAAUCGGUUCGGCUAGAUGAGUCCAAUUAAUAAAAUGCACAGAGUUUUGGAUCGGUUGAUGAGCCGAAUAUAUGAAAUACACAGUGAUUGGUCGGCUGAAAGAGUCGAAUGUUUUUAUAUAUUAAUAAAACAGAGUGUACCCGAAGGACAUAUAGACUCUGAAAAUCUAGUUUACAACAGAAUGUGCCCGUGGGGCAUACAGACUCUAGAGAUCUAACUUAAAAACUACUCCUAGGAAAGCAAUAAAUGCGAGUAAAAAAGAUUACAUGUAGACUACUCCUAGAAAGCGAUAAAUGCAGGAAAGGAAAGUAUUUGAAAAUACGGUAGUCUUCUCGUUCAGGGGAGAGAAAGACCUCCCUUG